rnacentral:rRNA from 1 species
ACAGAGGGUGCGAGCGUUGUCCGGAAUCACUGGGCGUAAAGGGCGCGUAGGUGGCUUGGUAAGCGUGCGGUGAAAGCUCGAGGCUCAACCUCGAGUCUGCCGUGCGAACUGCCGAGCUGGAGCACGGUAGAGGCACAUGGAAUUCCGGGUGUAGCGGUGGAAUGCGUAGAGAUCCGGAAGAACACCUGAGGCGAAGGCGGCUUGCUGGGCAUGAUCUGACGCUGAGGCGCGAAAGCGUGGGGAGCAAACAGGA